UACGUAGGGGGCAAGCGUUGUCCGGAUUUAUUGGGCGUAAAGAGCGUGUAGGCGGCCUGAAAGGUCAGCUGUGAAAACUCGAGGCUCAACCUCGAGACGUCGGUUGAAACCAUCUGGCUAGAGUGCGGGAGAGGCGAGUGGAAUUCCUGGUGUAGCGGUGAAAUGCGUAGAGAUGUGGAGGAACACCAGUGGCGAAGGCGGCUCACUGGGGCUUUUCUGACGCUGAGGAACGAAAGCCAGGGUAGCGAACGGG
rnacentral:rRNA from 1 species